rfam:Schistosoma rodhaini strain Burundi genome assembly, scaffold: SROB_scaffold0005631
AUUCAGCCGACGAGUCACAAAUAAGACGAAACGCUCAUCCUGGAU